UUCCAGAGUUUUUGUCAUGGCUCAGGAUGAACGCUAGCGGCAGGCCUAAUACAUGCAAGUCGGACGAGAUCCAUCGGAGAGCUUGCUGGAAGAUGGUGAGAGUGGCGCACGGGUGCGUAACGCGUGAGCACCAUACCUCUAUCAGGGGGAUAGCCUCUCGAAAGAGAGAUUAACACCGCAUAACAUCAACAGUUGGCAUGUUCGGUUGAUUAAAUAUUUAUCGGAUAGAGAUGGGCUCGCGUGACAUUAGAUAGUUGGUAGGGUAACGGCUUACCAAGGGGGCGAUGUCUAGGGGCUUGAGAGGAGAAUCCCCCACACUGGUGGUGAGACACGGACCAGACUCCUACGGGAGGCAGCAGUAAGGAAUAUUGGUCAAUGGGCGGAAGCCUGAACCAGCCAUGCCGCGUGCAGGAAGACUGCCCUAUGGGUUGUAAACUGCUUUUGUCCAGGAAUAAACCUAAAUACGUGUAUAUAGACUGAAUGUACUGGAAGAAUAAGGAUCGGCUAACUCCGCCCACCAGCCGCGGUAAUACGGAGGAUCCGAGCGUUAUCCGGAUUUAUUGGGUUUAAAGGGUGCGUAGGCGACCAAAAAGUCAGGGGUGAAAUACGGUGGUUCAACCAUCGCAGUCCCUUUGAUACUGAUUGGCUUGAAUCCAUGAAAGUGGGCGGAAUAAGACAAGUAGCGGUGAAAUGCAGAGAUAUGUCUUAGCACUCCGAUUGCGAAGGCAGCUCACUAAGCUGGUAUUGACGCUGAUGCACGAAAGCGUGGAAUCGACCAGGAUUAGAUACCCUGGUAGUCCACGCCUUAAACGAUGAUAACUCGAUGUUGGCGAUAGACAGCCAGCGUCCCAGCGAAAGCGUAAG
rnacentral:rRNA from 1 species